rnacentral:tRNA from 1 species
GCUGGUAUAACUCAGUGGUAGAGCACAUGCUUAGCAUGCAUGAGGUCCUGGGUUCAAUCCCCAGUACCUACA